GCCCCUAAAGGAUAAUAGCUAUCCGUUGGUUUUAGGAACCGAAGACUCUUGGCGCAAUUCCAAGUAGGGGUU
rnacentral:tRNA from 1 species